UUUCCGUAGGUGAACCUGCGGAAGGAUCAUUAAUGGGAAAUCAAAUCAAAACAAAUGUUCUGUUGCACUGGGUGUGCUGUGUGGUGGUGGUGUGAGACACGGAGAUUCAAUCAUUGGAAUUCAAUCAUUGGAAUUCAAUCAUUGGAGAUUCAAUCAUUGGAGAUUCAAUCACUGGAGAUUCAAUCAUUGGAGAUUCAAUCAUUGGAGAUUCAAUCAUUGGAGAUUCAAUCAUUGGAGAUUCAAUCAUUGGAGAUUCAAUCAUUGGAGAUUCAAUCAUUCAAUCUCAAUCAUUCAAUCUCAAUCAUCGCCACACAACACAACUAUCUAUCACACUCGAUCAACAACAACACACUCACACACAACAGCAAACAACUUUUAACAAUGGAUCUCUUGGCUCUU
rnacentral:misc_RNA from 1 species